ACCAAUCAUAAAAGUAAGAUCUUAAGAACACACUAACGUACAUCUAAUCGCGAUCCUUCCUACAUUCUCAAUGGCGAAUUUCUCAUCAUUUUCUCUUUCACAUUCAUCACAAUGUACCUAAGGUCUACCAGUGUUUCGUUAACAAUUGCCAUUAACAUCGUAUAAAUCAACAUCUAUCGUAACGAGUAUACGAAAAAAGAACCUCUCUUCGCUACAAAUAUCAGUGAAAAACUGUGUGAACCAGUUCCAGGCAGCGUUUCAAAGAAUUUCUUCGUUCGACAGGAGCAGAUGGAUCGGGGAUUUUCGUGUGGAGACUUCGCCAAGAAGUUGAUACGAUCUUCUUCGUAGAACGAUUUAAGCGAUCGUUCGUUUAUCGUAUUUUCUGAAGCAGUAUAUAACAAGAAAAAUAUUGAUCGACGGGGAAAUAUUCGAUCGAAGCGAAUCGAAGGUUGUCCAGGCAGGAACAAAAUAGAUUCGAGAAGACUUGGAGUGUGUAAUUGAAAGUGUUUUUACCGCGAGAUGGUUCAGGUAUGUAGAGGUGACUUUAAGGGAGGUAGACAUCACAGAAGAAAGAAAAACGAACAACCGCAUCUCCUCGUUAAUGUCCUCACAGCGUGAAGAGAAAUAAAUGGCUCAAAGGCGAUUCCUCUGUGGUUCGUAAAUAUUCUCGCGUCUCUAAUAUAAAGAACGCUACGUGGAAGGGAAACCGAAGAUGCUUGAUCCUUUCCUUCAUCUUCUUUCUUUUUCUUUUUUUUUUCUUUUCGGAAGCGGUAAGUCCAUUCUGGUUGACUGAAAUGAGAUUCUCUUCUUUUUUCUACUCUUUAUCAGUCACGGGUGGUAAUCCUAUUAACGGACACGAGAGAGGACAGCGGAUUUCCACGUAACCGAAUCGACAAUCCUAUUUAUCUGUAUUUUUUAAGCCGCAUAGCUGAAUCUAAAAAUACGAAGCACGUGUUAUUUAAAAAACGAGAACCAAAAAGCGAGAGAACCUGUCCGACCAGAGCUCGCCCUCCGCGUCUUAUUUCGUAGAAAUCGAGAAUGCUGGGGCUGCAUAUGCGUUGCAUUAUACCGACGUAGUAUCGGGUGAUGCGGUGACUAUAUCAAAAAGUAAAGAAAUCGUUGCAUGAAUUAAUGCCAAGGGGAGAUCCCAUUGAAAAGAAAGAGUGAAAAACCUGUCUCCGUCGUUACAUCGACAGUUACCUAAUAAAUACAGAGAGAGGUAAGGAGGAAGAAAUAGGUGAAGUAUGACGCAUUUGCGAGACGACUAAACACGGUAAAGGAAGAAGUGGUGGCUAAUUAAUCGACUUCUCGUGCAACGUGUGCAUUUCCCGUAAUCACGUUGUGUUCCAUACAAUAUCCACACAUAGAAAACAAUGAAAGUGGUCGUUUAGACAGAUCGGCGAUAUUACAAAACGUGCAGUAGUUGAGCGUGUUAACGGAACAAGAAACCAACUGGAAACAAUCAAAUUCUCGUCGAUGGUUCUUCCAAACGAGAUUGGUUGAUUCUUGCGAAACUUGGAACUCGUUCAGUUCGAUUCCUCGAAACCACCUACCGAGUGCAAUAAUCUUCUAGACGAUACGUAGAUUCCGAUUUGCAGAGAGAUCACGUUGAUUCGCAUCUAUUUUUGGACGAAGCAACGAGAAACAGAAUGUCUCGUGCGCAUCCACUGUGCCAUAUACGAGAUUGGUCUUAAAUUUGUGUAAAUCUACAAAUCAAAUCAAUAUAUAAAAUCAAAUAAUGCUAAACAGAAAACCUAACGAUGCAUACCAAGUUACUGUUAUUGGUAUUAUUCUUGCAACUUUCUAUCAAACAUACGAUGCACCGCGGUGUAAUGAUAAACUAUUACAAAUGUAGUCGCAACCAGUUUCAAUGGAGUAACAAAAAAGAAGGCAAAAAGACGUUUGUCCGUGCCAUGAACAGGUUCAAUGUCAGCGAUUGCGUAGGUUCCAUCAAACCGUUGGCAACACAGUUUUGACUCGUCACUGUAGACCAUGAAUUUUCUUGAUUACCAAUUAAACCAACCUUCCUCGUUUCCAUAUCCGCAUACGUCAUAACGGCACACAAUUUCGUGAAACUCGAAACUCCCAAGUUGAUUUUUCGUCUGCCAUACAAAUAACUAUGAAACAGCUGAAAAUGAAGCGUCUCGAAUACUAAUCGAGAAAAUGGAUAUCAGCCACGAUUUUCACGGUUACGAAACGGCGUAGAGGCCUAGCAAAAUCUGACGAAGGCUUGCAAUUUAUAGAUCCGCUGUGUAAACGUGUCCAGAGUCCAGAGCAAACAGGACAUGUCGUCGUCGUAAUAAUCAUAAAUACGCGAAUUAAAGGACGUAAAAAGAGGCUCUUGAUGAUAUUGUCUCGGCGAUGAUGGUGACAAUAAUGUGUAAUAUUUGGCUUCUGAUAACGCCUCUCCUUCGAUCCGCAACGCUAAGUAAUCGUAUCUUGAGCCAUACCGACUCUUUGACAUGGUAAGGUAGAGUUGUUUGAAUCGCCUAACAUCUCGAAAUUCAAUCUUGAACUUUUCACAGAAGAUAUAAUAAUAUAAUUGAUCUGGUUAAAUAUUAUGAGACACGACUAGUCUUUAAUAUAAUAACGAAAGAGUGUAGGUAUAGAAAAUAUCGCGUGUACUUUAGAUCCAGCAAGACCAAAAAAUACGGUGGAGUAUAAUUGUACGAAUUCUCUAGCAUUCUUUUGUUUAUCUAUCGAUCCAUGUCGCAUUGAUAAAACAACGGAGAAAUUCUAUGGCUCGCAAUCGUUGCUCCUUGUGUGGUCCUCACGGUCGAAUGUCGAUCAUGUGACCAUACAGAUAUCUUUGAUAACGCUAGAAAUCAGAGAAAAAGAUACAAAAGGAAUAUCGCAAAAAGACAAAAGUGAAAAUACGCGAAAAAAGGCAUAUUAAUCAGAAUACGAGUUAUCUACCCUUCCGGGAAACAUCGUGUCCGGUGAAUGAUAUGCACUGCAUGUUGACAAUAAUGAAAUGAGACCUUCGCUCGAGCGUUACUGCACGCCAUUCGAUGAAUAAUGCGUCGCUACUUAAACGACAUUUUGUUUACGUUUUUUAAGUGAAGCUAAGAGAGAGAGAGAGAGAGAGAGAGUAUAAAAUGAAUCUGAUAAAGAUAUAUAUGUAUUUUUAUUAAUAUUUGUCAUACAACUGUAUAUAUAACAAA